rnacentral:lncRNA from 1 species
GCAUCCCCACCCGACCUUCCAGGUCUCUGCUUAAAUGUCUCUUUCUCCAAGAAGUUUCCAUCUUAGAGACAGGGUUUCACCACGUUGGCCAGUUGGCCAGGCUGGUCUCGAACUCCUGACCUCAAGUGAUCUGCCUGCCUCAGUCUCCCAAAAUGCUGGAAUUACAGGAGUGAGCCACCGUGCCUGUCCAGUUCCAUCUACUUCUCAUUGACCAGAACUGAGACAUGUGGCCACCCAUCG